AACGAACGCUGGCGGCAGGCUUAACACAUGCAAGUCGAACGGGUGUAGCAAUACAUCAGUGGCAGACGGGUGAGUAACACGUGGGAACCUUCCUAGGGGUACGGAACAACUCAGGGAAACUUGAGCUAAUACCGUAUACGUCCGUGAGGAGAAAGAUUUAUCGCCCUUAGACGGGCCCGCGUCGGAUUAGGUAGUUGGUGGGGUAACGGCCUACCAAGCCUACGAUCCGUAGCUGAUCUGAGAGGAUGAUCAGCCACACUGGGACUGAGACACGGCCCAGACUCUUACGGGAGGCAGCAGUGGGGAAUCUUGGACAAUGGGCGAAAGCCUGAUCCAGCCAUGCCGCGUGAGUGAAGAAGGCCUUAGGGUUGUAAAGCUCUUUUGCCAGGGACGAUAAUGACGGUACCUGGAGAAUAAGCCCCGGCAAACUUCGUGCCAGCCGCCGCGGUAAGAC
rnacentral:rRNA from 1 species